rnacentral:rRNA from 1 species
GACGAACGCUGGCGGCGUGCUUAACACAUGCAAGUCGAACGCUGAAGCUUGGUGCUUGCACUGGGUGGAUGAGUGGCGAACGGGUGAGUAAUAAGUGAGUAACCUGCCCUUGACUCUGGGAUAAGCCUGGGAAACUGGGUCUAAUACUGGAUACGACAUGUCACCGCAUGGUGGUGUGUGGAAAGGGUUUUACUGGUUUUGGAUGGGCUCACGGCCUAUCAGCUUGUUGGUGGGGUAAUGGCUCACCAAGGCGACGACGGGUAGCCGGCCUGAGAGGGUGACCGGCCACACUGGGACUGAGACACGGCCCAGACUCCUACGGGAGGCAGCAGUGGGGAAUAUUGCACAAUGGGCGGAAGCCUGAUGCAGCGACGCCGCGUGAGGGAUGACGGCCUUCGGGUUGUAAACCUCUUUCAGCACGGAAGAAGCGAAAGUGACGGUACGUGCAGAAGAAGCGCCGGCUAACUUCGUG